GACCUCAAAUCAGGUAAGAAUACCCGCUGAACUUAAGCAUAUCAAUAAGCGGAGGAAAAGAAAAUAACAAUGAUUCCCUCAGUAACGGCGAGCGAAGAGGGAUAAGCUCAAAUUUUAAAUCUGUUGGGUUUCACCUAACAGAGUUGUAUUUUGAAGAAACGUUUUCUGCGUCCAGGAUUAGCCUAAAUCCUUUGGGAUAAGGUAUCAUGGAGGGUGAGAAUCCCGUUCAUGGUUAAUCUUAAGGAUGCUCUACGAUACGUUCUCCAAGAGUCGAGUUGUUUGGGAUUGCAGCUCAAAAUGGGAGGUAAAUUUCUCCUAAGGCUAAAUAUUGGCGAGAGACCGAUAGCGAACAAGUACCGUGAGGGAAAGAUGAAAAGAACUUUGAAAAGAGAGUUAAACAGUACGUGAAAUUGUUGAAAGGGAAACGAUUGAAGUCAGUCAUACCAACGGGAAAUCAACCUCUUGAGUUUGGUCUCGUGGGUUUCGAAGAGUUUUAAAAGCCUUCGGAUUUUCGAGAUUGGGCUCUUCUGGUGUACUUUCUCGUACGGUUAGUCAACAUCGGUUUUGAAUGUCAUAAAAUGACUGGAGGAAUGUGGCUUCGAUCUCGUAUUGAAGUGUUAUAGCCUUUGGUAGAUGUGAUGUUCGAGACCGAGGAUUGCAACGGAUACCCUUCUGGGCUAUUCGUCUGAUCUCUGAAACGUUGCCUUGAUGUCGAAAGCUUGCUUAUGAUGUUAAGGGUAUUACGGUCAAAAGGUUAGAACGGAUUAAAUUCGUUAAGGAUGUUGACGUAAUGACUUUAAACGACCCGUCUUGAAACACGGACCAAGGAGUCUAACAUAUAUGCGAGUGUUUGGGUGAAUAAACCCUUGCGCGUAAUGAAAGUGAUUUUGGUGAGAUCCGGAUUAAUUUUUUUCGGAGCAUCAUCGACCGAUCAGGAUAUUU
rnacentral:rRNA from 1 species